rnacentral:tRNA from 2 species
GCGCCUUUAGCUCAGCUGGUAGAGCAACGGACUCUUAAUCCGCAGGUCCUGGGUUCGAUCCCCAGAGGGCGCA